UCACUGGUUGGAAUGUUAUUGCCAGGCGGGAAGAAGUGCUCUUGUGACUUUUAAGAUUAGAAGGAAAGAAUUGAGUCAAGUCUUAAUUAAUAGUAUUAUUCUGUCAUUUCCACCUUCCACCAUUUUAUUAUUAUAUUUUGUCAGAAUUGAUUAGCAAAAUGCAUUUACCCAGGGGUUGUCAGGGUUCCUGUUUGUAAGGUCCAAACAACAUUGUUAGUUACUUCAAUCAAUGUAUGCCCCUAAGGGUAGAUUCAUCGAAUUUACCUGUCAAAGCUUAAUUAAGGACAAGCUCCAGGUUGAGUUCAGGCUACUCAAAUUCAGGGUUACGUUCUGUCCGUUUUGCUUCUAAUCAAUGGGUGGUAGGGUGUCAUUUGGAGAGGAUUUUGAAUAUUUGCAAUUUCUGAGGUAGCGUUUUGCUGCUUAAUAAGUACCUUAGUGUGAUUUCUUACUUCGUUUGGUUUUCUUUCUCCACAAUUUCUGUAGAUGCCCAGAUGAAGGCAAUAGCGCCUGGAUAAUCAGAGCAUAUCCUUUGGAGCAUUUGUUGCUAACGUGUAGUUUUUGAGCAAUGCUUGGCAACUGAAAUGGGAAUCUUGUAUUCCUCUUUUAUAGAUGAGUCUGUUAAUAAGUAGGUUGCUCUGCCUUUCAAUUCUGAGCUUGAGUUGUUUCUUUUUUGUAUGUGGAAUUCGUAACCCUCUUUGAUGUCCACCUUCUGUAAAGCAAACAAUAGCUGCAGGAGCAAAAUCCAAGUAACAGUAAUAAUUGUUUGUGUUUAUAAUGUGGUUACCGUGUACCUGGCAUUGUGUUGAAUAUAUUAUUUUAUGAAAUCCCAAGAACAACCCUGUGAGCUAGGUACUUCUGUCGUCUCUAUAUUACAUGAAGGAAAUUGUGAUUGAAGAUGUUAAACAAAUUGUGCCAAGUGCAAGACUGGUAGUAAGUCGUGGAGAUUGAUUUCCAAGCCAGAUCUGCCUGAGCCAAGGCUUUCUUUUAUGUUGUCCUUCACUAAAGACUCACUGAACAGAAAUGAAUGAGUGCUGGGCACAUGCCACGCGGUUAAUUCUAUAUAAAUCCGGUCAGAUUCUGAAUAGUGUCGACCUGGUAGAGUCAGUGUGAAUUUCUCAUCAUAACAAGAGACUUAACGUGGCAAAAGUCAAUAUCCUAAGAAAGGAGAUGUUAAUGCGCCGUGCAGACUGCCCUUUUUGGGGGGAGGGUUGUUGUUGUUGGUUAUUGCUCUAGCAACUACCACAAAGGCAGCAUUUACUUGACAAGCCACGUGUACUUAAGGCAGAACACUGACUGCUUUUCAUGCUGGCAGAUCCGUACUCUACCAGCACUGGCUACCUGUGAGGAAUAUGAGCAAGUUGGAUUUUAGGACAGGAAAAACACAACUUCCACCUCAUUUCACAGUAGGGUUCACUUCGGGAUACAGACUUUUUGGUGGCAGCGACUGUUACCUUCUGCUUGUGAUUUCUGAUACUUGCAGAAUACUUACCUGGCAGAUACUGUCAGAUGACAGGCCCUCCUCCUACAUGUUCUUCAUGAAAGAAGUGCUAGUUGCAAGCGUUUUAUUACAUUAGAAUUCUACUUAAUGCCGCUUUAGCUUAGAGUGUGUUUAUUAUGAAGUCAGGAUCAUGACAUGUUCUUUUUUCCUCUUGUUCUUCCUGAGUCUGGUGUUCUUUCCCUCAGUAACGGACUAAGAUGCAAGUGUGUUGUGAAGAAGGAGAAUUUCUUGCCCAGAUGGACCCCGGUGAAAGUAACUUACGUAAAGAGACUCCGCUUCUGUUUGGGAAAAUGAUCUAAGAUGCACGCAGUGCUUUUCUUUUUGGAGACGAACACUUUAUCCUAAUAUUUGGCCACUUACAAUCAGUCUGUUGCAGAAUCAGGAAGUGUUCUAUAUGUUAGCAUGAAGUUCAAACCAUAGCCUUUAAACACUGGGAAAGGGAAUUGAGGGUAGAUGCCAAGACGGGUUUGGAAAAGGCAUGGUAAGUUCAGGAAAGUGUAAAUGGUUUCAUCCGGCCAAAGCACAGUAGCAGUGUGAGGAAGUGGUAGGAGGUGAGAAAGGAUAGGUUGUGGGGACCAGACAACAGAGGAGCUUUGUAUUUUAUGCUAAGGAGUUUGGAUUUUUUCCUGUAGAUAGUGGGGAAACUUAUAAUACCUUUUUUAUUUUUUAUUUUUUGAGAGAGAGAGAGAGAAAAAGAGGGUAUAAGUGAGCAAGGGGCAGAGAGAGAGAGAAUCCCAUGAGGGGCAGAGUGAGAGAGAGAGAGAGAGAGAGAGAGAGAGAGAGAGAAAGAAAGUGGGGCUUCUGAAGCAGGGCCUGUGCUCACCCGAUGUGGGGCCCGUGCUCACCUGGAGUGGGGCUCGUGUUUAUCCAAUGCUUACCCAUGCGGGACUCAAACUCCCGAACUGUGAGAUCAUGACCUGAGCUGAAGUCAGUUGCUUAAUGACUGAGUCACCCAGGUGCCCUCUCAUACCUUUUAAGAAGGGGACACAUGGAAUCAAGUUUGCAUUGAUGGAUUCGUGUGGCAAUAUGGAGUGUGGAUUGAAGGUAGAGAGACUGUUUGUUCGUCAGGAGAAACACUCUUCUAGAGUCUCCUAGUAUUCAAGCAGGAAAUAAUGGCCUGAAUUAGGAAACUGUUCUAGGCAUGCAGAAAAGGGUGCCCUUUAUUCAUUCAGUGUUUGAGAAAUGUUUAUUAAGUUCCUGUUCUAUGUCUGACACAGGAUUAGUUAUAUAUUGGGUUAACAAGGUGAACAAGGUACAGUUACUACCUCCAGGGAACUUAUCAUCUGGUGGGAGAUUGGACAAGCAACAAAAACUGCCUGUUACAAAGGCCAAGUGCUGCACCAGGGCAUUUAUGACAGCAUGUAGACCCUAACCCAGUUCUGGGGGGCGGGAGGGCCUUUUUAGGAGACAGCCAAGUGAAGUUGUACAGCUUCACUUAGGGGUGGGGUUAGGGGUGUUGGAAAGAGCUGAGCUGCUUCACUUGAGGAAAUAGUAUCUGAAAAUGGCUAGAGCAGAUGAGAGAAAAACCCUGGUCCUUUUAGGGCCCUGCAAGUCAGUUAGUGUGGCAGGAUUGUGUAGAGCAGGGAAGUGUGGAGACAAAUGAGGCCAGGGGAAUUAAACAGUCACCUGGUGACCCACAUGAAAAGAGUUUGUCUAAAAACACAUGAACUGUUUUAAGCCAGAGAGUGUCAUGACCAAAUUAGACCUUUAACAAAUAUCCUUCUGGCUGCUGUGGGGAGGAUGGGAAGGGAGGGGGAAGAAUAGGGUCAAUAAUAAAAGAGGUACCAGAGAGGUAGGGGAGGGUUUGUUGGGAGCAGAAGGAGGAGUUGAAAGAAGGGAGUGGUCAGUUCUGGAAAAUAUUGCUGGGAAGUCAUUAAGAUGGAGACUGGGAAGUAUCUACCAGUAGGUCAGUUGGUGACCUUAGUGGGACGGGUUUCACUAGAGUCAUAGGGUGGGAGGCCAAUGCUAGGGGAUUGAGGAGUGUUAGGUAAAUAGGUAACACUAGUGAUUAAAGGCUACUGUCAUAGAAACUUGGUCGUGAUAAGAUAAGGAGCAAUUUCAAGAAAAGGGAAGGAGAAGGGGUCAAGUGAUGGAAGGUUCUAAUGACGUUAAAGAGUGUUGAUGUGGUUCUAUAAGGCAAUGAGAACAAUGACAAUAGACUAAUCUAUUGGGGGGGCGGGGAUUAACAUUAUCUUGAAUCCUUGUUAGUUGUUUCUUAUAAUUUUGCAGGAUAAGUAUUAUGAAUGUUGGAAAUUGGAAAAAAAUCUGUCUAGCUGAUGCAGAUAUAGUACUUUAGGAUUUCAAGACUGGACUAGCUAUGGAUUAUGACUAAUCUAGGAGAGGAGAUAAAGGUCCUUGGCAGUAACAUCUCCAUAAUGGGAGGUUGGCUAGAAGGAUGGUUGUAACUAGGAUGGAGAAGACCGAGCCAGUGCCAAAUCAUUCUCGUACUUUGGAAGGUGGGCUGGAGAUGAAUUAGAACAUUGACUUAGAGAGUCGUAUGGUUGAGUGGCGUGAACUUCUGAGGAGAGGAAGUUUUCCCCACUCACAGAAGGUGGGAGAACUUUGGGGAGAGAGAUCAAUGAUCCCAGAUUCUAGUUCCAUGUAUGAGGAGAAUUUGCCAAGAAGGUAGACUUUUUUAGCUGAGCUUCUUUGCCGAGGGAUCAGUGAGUACUGUUUUAUGAAUACGUUCAGUCUGAUUUUCUGUGGAGAAGAUUACUGUCAGUUUUCUUCAUAUGAAUGCAUUUGGAAAACUGCUGCUAAGCAACCUGUUGUCUUUUUGAGUGUUACUAUAAUCUGGUGUCAACGACUAAAUGAUCUCAUUGGGCCAGUUUUCUCCCCUCCAGCUAUGCUGGCAUAAGUAAGUACAUUAAUAGUCUUUAAGAAAUACAUUCAUCACAAACCAGGUAAUCACUCUGGAGCUGGCCUUGGCAGUGUCUGAAUGAGUCGGACAAGUUAGAGAAAAUGUUGAGCCCAAAAGCUGCUUAAGUCUUUUAGAUUUGUUCGGGCAAAGUAACAACCAAUGAAUCAGCUGUAAUUUAAUGGGGUCUGAUAUUACUUUUUAAGAUAGAUCACUUUAAUAUGAUGCUUUGUCAUUAAUGUUUUAGUAAUCUGACAGCAUUAAAGAGAGUUGAUAGUCCCUGUUUCAUUAUUUCUUGGCUCCAUGACAGAACUAUGCAUUAAAAUGCACUUAAGAUUUUAAAAGGGAUGUCUAGGAAAGUAGUUAACCAACAAACCAAUCCCAAGUGGGUUGAUCUGACUUAUAAAUUCCAAACAAUGUGUAGCUAAUUGCAGAUAGACUUUAUUCCUCCAGGUGUUGUAUCAGGUCUCCUGUGUAUACCUUUUGUAUCGGAGCCCAAGUAGCGGAGAUGUUUUCUUGCCAACAUUAGGUUUGAGGAAGUAGUUUCCAGGACAGGAGUAUCGGGAUAGUUUUAUUUUAUGGUGUACUUUCUCUUUUUUUUUUUAUAAGCCUGCUAAAAUUCAGAGGUUGAGCAAGAGGCUUUUGAGCUAAAAAUGAGCUGAUAGAAAUUUUUAGCAGCAAUGAAAAAAACAUACAAUUAUCCAAUGUACAUAUCUAAUAUUAGAUAUACCUUGUGUGUGUGUGUGUGUGUGUGUGUGUGUGUGUGUGUAUAUAUCACCCAGUGUCAAUUAUGUAAUGUCAAUUAUGAUGUAAUUCUUUUUUACUUUCCCAAACGGUGAGGUUUUAUUUGGAAAAAAAAAAAACAAAAAACCCAUACUCAGUGUUGUUGUGGGGUGAGGGACUAGGUAGGUACAAUUUGAGGAGUAUCUUAAAAAGUGUAUAUUCGUUGGGGUGCCUGGGUGGCUCAGUCGGUUGAGCGUCCGACUUCGGCUCGGGUCAUGAUCCCGCGGUUCAUGAGUUCGAGCCCCGCGUCGGGCUCUGUACUGAUAACUCAGAGCCUGGAGCCUGCUUCUGCUUCUGUGUCUCCCUCUCUCUCUCUCAAAAACAAAUAAAAAAAAAAUUAAGAAAAAAAAGAAAGUGUAUAUUCGUUGACUUAACAGUUUUGGUUUUAGGAGUUUGUCUUAUAGAAAUAAGCAUAGGUCACAAGAGUGUAGCCAUAAGAAUAUUUACCACGACAUUGUUGAGAUUGAUUAAUUGCAUAUGAUCUGAGGAUAACAAUGAAAAUGAUUGUUUAUUUUACUCAUUUUGUACUCUUAGCAUGGUCAAUUGAUGGGAUUAUUUUGGAAAGACUUUAAAUUAAAGCCAAGUAUAGAGAGAUGAUUUUUAUUUAAAGUCACAUUGCUAGAUUGUGGAAAACUGAAGCAUUUUACUGAAUUGCUUCUUCAGAUGAAGAAUAUUUUUCAAUUAAAGGUCUUCUUACAGAUCCAACCCCCUCCUGUGUCUCACAAGAUUAUACUCCUACUGGUAUCAUAAGCACACAAAUAUGCUGAACUUAAAGCUGAUGUGAAGCCAGCGUUCAUCUGGAUGGACUAGACAGCAGUUAGCAUCAUGAGUUGUUUGUCAUUGCUGAUCUACCCUGAGCUUAGAGGAAUCACAGAUUUUAAAGAAUUUUAAAGGAAUUGAAGUUUACAGCUUUGGAGAAGUCAUAGACAUUUAAGUUUCCAAACCGUAACUAGAGUGCAAACAUCUGUCUCUGGCUUAAUUAUCACAUACUUGCCCUGUUGUUAACAGCUUGGGGUAAAGAAGUGAAGAACCUACAGGUAAGCCAUAUCUGCCAAUAAAAACAUAAAAAUGCUUUACACUUGGAUGCACCUGGGUGGCUCAGUCGGUUAAGUGUUCAACUUCAGCUCAGGUCAUGAUCUUGUGGUUCACGAGUUGAGCCCUGUAUCGGGCUCUGUGCUGACAGCUCGGAGCCUGGAGCCUGCUUUGGAUUCUGUGUCUCCCUCUCUCUCUGCCCCCUCCCCUGCUUGUGCUCUGUCUCUCUCUCUUAAAAAAAUAAAUAAACGUUUAAAAAGUUAAAAAAAAAUGCUUUACACUUGGGACUUAAACCAGUUAUUCUGGAACUGUUCUAAUAUUUUAAAUUCUAUGGCCAAACUCUAGGCAUGUUUGGUUCCCCUGUAUUUGUAAAAAUGUAUUUUGUUCGUAAGUCUUUUGAACUAAAAGCCAAGAAAUAUCAUGGCUUGCAUAAAUCUGGAGUCUGAUUUGAAAUGUGCCUUUAUUUCAUAUACCUUUGUUCUUGAGGGUUGCAUACCUAUAGCUGUCAAUUUUCUCUUUGAUUUGUUCAAAAUGGAUCACUUAGUACAAUUAGUUCUCUAGCUAUACACUUUUAGUGUAAUUCAAAGCAAGUUCUUUGGACUGGUUUGGGAUUAUGGCUAACUUUUCAUUUUUGUAUGGCUGAUAAUUUAUACUUUUACUGUAUUAAGUAAAAAGCUCAUGUAACUACACACUUAAAAAUUGUGAUUCUGUGAAAAACUUAAGUGAUCUCGGAGGUGUGGGAAGAGUGCAAAGCACUAGAUGAGAUGAGACCUUUCUGUGCCAGGUGGAGGCUUCCUGAGGCAUAUGGUGCUCAGGUUUGGUGAGGAAAUGGUGAAAGCCACAGCCUUGUCCUGCCGUUUCUCCAUUUCGUUUCUUUACCUGUGAGAUCAUGGUCAAAGUCCCUGGCUAUCAUGGUGGGAAUUGAGGUUUUAAACAUUUAUUUCUGUUUACAUCCCAAAUCCACCUUAUAAAGAGGAAGGAGAAUUACAAGUAUUUUUUAAACUACAGUUGUCAGUCUGUUACUUACUUUCCUUUCUUUGAGCCCCUGAACAUUAAUGGAAGUGCCACUAUCUCAACUUACUCUAUGCUUUCUAGGCAUUUCUAAAACUGGUAAAAAGGGAAAAACUAAUAAUUAACUUUAGAGGCUAGUAGAACCAUGAAAAUAAUUGGGUUGUUAAGUGGAUCCAAGAGACCUUUAUUUUUUUAUUUAUUUAUUUUUUUAAAAUGUUUUUAUUUAUUUUUGAGACAGAGAGAGACAGAGCAUGAAUGGGGGAGGGGCAGAGAGAGAGGGAGACACAGAAUCGGAAGCAGGCUCCAGGCUCUGAGCCAUCAGUCCAGAGCCCGACGCGGGGCUCGAACUCACAGACUGUGAGAUCGUGACCUGAGCCGAAGUCAGACGCUUAACCGACUGAGCCACCCAGGCGCCCCCAAGAGACCUUUAUUAAGCACCUACUAUGUGCUUGAUACAUUGCUCUAGGCAUUGGUUGUUACCAAGAUCGUGAAAGACCUGGGAGGGAGAUACACGGAGUAUUAAAGGAUGUAGACGAAGAGCUGAUCAAACCUGUUCAUGUGUUUUCUAGAAGAACUUCUUACACACUUUUUUUUUUUUGAGCAACAGUAUUCAAUUUUGUCAUUUAAAAAAGGAAUCAACCUUCUUUGUCAACAAUAGCCCUGUUGUGCUUUUUUUGAGUCCCAGCCUUCCCUGAUUGUCCUGAUUGGCUGAGAUCUGUUGUUCCUCCAAAUUCAUAGUAUUCUGUUUUCUAUACACUGUACAUUCGUCACUCUCUGGAAAAAUGUUAAAGAUCCCAGUGUUCUCAUUUUAGUAUACUAACAUCUUUUUAAAAUCUUGUAUUCCUAAUCUCAUUUUCUCUUUUUCUUUCUUCAUUUUAUAUUUAGCCAGUGUGUAUUUAUGUAAGUAUAUGUAUUUAAACAUUCCCUGAAUCAAUGUGAAAUAUAAAUAUGUUAACAGUAAAUGCUGUAUUUGCCUUUUUAGUGGUGUAUGUCUUACACCUUUUAUUAAAAACGCAAGCCACUAUGGAAUGAGUCUUUGUUUAAGUACAAUACCUUGCAUAUAGUAUAGGGUGCAUAGAUGUGGAUUUACAUUUAGUGCCUUGUAUGUUUGUUGAGUGAAUAAUUGAUACCCAUAUGAGAUACUCUGCUCCUGGGUCUUUUGUUUGUCCGCGUCUCACUUGCCUCUGUAGCAGACUGCCUGCCCUGUUAGAUCCAGAUGAAUUGGCUGAGUAAAUAAGCAGUAUUUUGCUCAGCACAUCUCUGUUCAUGUGUGUGGAUUUAUGUCCAUCCUCAGACUAGUUGCUAUGGAGUCAAGUGCCUGGCAAAACAAAGGAAGACUGGCAGUGAAAGUAUCUCAAGAUGGGUAAUCUAAUAAUAAUGGCCAGCGGUUCCUCUGAAGCUUGUUUCCUCCAGUUGUUAACUUCAGAGAGAUGUAAAAUUGCUUGUGUUAGAAUAGACAUGGGUGUUGUUUUUUGACAAUGGAAUAAAGUGGAAAGGUCCUGAUAUUGUUGCGGAUGAACGUGAUACUGGUCAGAAAACACGAGCCCGCCCACGUUAAGUCUGCGUGAUCCCGUUAACAACUGAAGAAUGGUAGACAGCUACCUGUUGUUUAGUUAUUUCUUUUUUUUGUAUCGAGGAUAGAGAAAUGCCAUAUUUUUCAUUCUGUUGGAACUGCCCCUCCUCGUGUGACUGGAUUUGGGCAAGUUUAUGUGUUGAUAUUUUUCUGGUCAUAAAAUUGUGGCUACAUUUAAGAGAAUAUUAUUUACAGCCUCCUGACAUAGUCAAAGCUAUAAUAUGGAACGAAAGAUUUAUCAUUCAUUGUGUUUAUUGAAUAAAAUUUUGUUCCUUGUUUUUAGUUGUGGAAACAAGUGAGUGGAGAGCUUAUUACAGUGCACAGCAUUUUGCUGGAAACCGUGGAUGAUGUUUAGGGAAGAUCUUUAGGAGAAAAGUACUUUGUGGAGUUUGAACUAACAGACACGACUAGACAGCAGUGUACGUUAUCCUCUGCAGCUAGGUUCUUGAGAGGAUUAGGGGCAGUCGCCAGGGGAUCAAAAUAUCGGCAGCUUCUCAAAGAAUCCGGACUGUUUUCUGGAAGUGUGGAUAACAGUCGCACAGGCAGAAGGUAGGGGCGAGAGGAGCCUGGAAAGCGGGCCUUUUAAAAAGACUGUACUUGCUGCAGAGGCAGAAACAAAAGAGGUAAGUUUUGUGUGAAGGUAAGUGAUAAGCAGUAGCAGGACAAAAAGUGAUUGUCCGGGGGCAGAUGUAUAUGGAAGAUUGCGUGGGGACGGGUUUUAGAGGAUCGUGAAAGCCGGACCCAUAAGUCUGAGUUUGGUAUGAGCAAACACAGGUUCUUGAUGUACUGCGGAAGGAAGUGUUUUAGGGAAUUGAGGCUGACGGUGAUAUCACAGGAGGAUAGUAUAUAUAUAACAGUGGUCAAGAUGGAGAGAUUAAUUAGGUAAUGUCAAAGGGAUUUUAUGGUCAUUUAUUGAAUCCUGAACAAGCACUGUUUGUCCUAAGUAGUUUAAUCAUGAUUUCGUUUAAGCCUCACAACUACCCUGUGAAUUAAGUAUAUUAUUGUCUUUACCUUAACAGACGAGGAAGCUGAAGCGCACAGCAAGGGCAAGCAGCUUUCUUGAAGUCACACAGCUCAGAAAGAGUAGAGCAAUCAGUCUGGCUUUGGAAGCUGAGGUCUUACCCUGUGUUCUGUUUCCCAGAGGAAAUAAAACUAACAUUCUUUCCUUCUAUGUGAUUUUUUUUUCUGUAUUAAUUCCCCUUCUCCUUAACUACAACAUGGUUUAUUGGCCUUCCAACAAAGGUUUGGCUUCGGGAUUUCAAGUAGUUUUGCUCAUUUUGAACUCUUCAAAAUCAGUGACUACUGGUUACUUAUAAAUGAUACUUUGUAAUUUAACUUUUCCCCUCUAAACUGAGACAAAUCGAAACAACUUUAGACUGGACUUUAAGGUUGGAGGGCCAGAGGUUAGCUAAUGUCAUAAAUGUUUCCAGUUUGCUGAGUUUACCUAGGUGAUAUUGUAAACAGUAAUGGUUUUUGUAUUUAUAUCUGUUUAAAAAUACAAUUUACAACUAUUAAAAAUUUUUUUAAAUGUUUAUUUUUGAGAGAGAGUGUGAGUAGGGGAGGGGCAGAGAGAGGAGACAGAAUCCAAAGCAGGCUCCGGACUCUGAGCUGUCAGCACAGAGCCCAAUGCGGGGCUUGAACCCACAAACCAUGAGAUCAUAACCUGAGGCUCAGUCAGAUGCUUAACCAACUGAGCCACCCAGGCGCCCUACACCUACUUAAAUGCUAUAGCUGACAGGAGCUCUUUUUUAAAAAUAGCGUGCACGCAUACACACACACACACACACACACACACACACACACACAAUUUGGGUUUCAGCAGGUCACAGGAUUCAUCACAGAUUCCUAAUUCGUCUGUGGCCACUCUGAUAUAGAUGUACUGCGCAAUUUAGAAAAGGCAGAUGCUUGGCUGUUGGUAUGCUCUGGGGUCCCUAUGUCAUUUGUGACCAUUGGUCUCUUCGCUGCGUGUCUUUUAGGACAAGGGAUUAACCUCCUACAGAGGCAUUUCAGAGAUUUUCCAACUAAUGAUUUUUCCUCUUAGACUUUACUGUUUGGUUUCUUUGGCAACCAGACCUCCCUCAGCAUCCUACGGCCCCUCUUCGUCUCCACGGCUUCUCCCGUUACUUGAGGGUGUUUUUCCCUUGCUCCUUUAGCACUGUACGAGAAGAAUAUGCAUGUUUUCUUAAAUCUCUGUUUCUCUUUGCUUCUGAGAAUAAUUAGAAGGAUAGAGAAAGGAAUCCCUUUUAGAAGCUAAAUAACUGGUAUUUUUGGGUUUUAGGGUUCCAGCCAUAAAAAGCUAAGUUUAUUCUUUUUCUGCAUCUUCCUUCCUCCCUCCCUGCCUUCCUUCCUUCCUUCCUUCCUUCCUUCCUUCCUUCCUGCCUCCCUCCUUCCUUCCCUGCCUCCCUCCUUCCUUCCCUCCCUCCCGCCCUCUUUUUGUUAAACAGUAAUAAAGAAAAUAUUUUCCAGUUAAACCAAACAUUUUACAAUCAGAAUAUUUUAGGAUGUAGGGUGUAGAGAGAAAAACAAUCUGAAAAUGACAUGUAGUUUGAUUAUAUAGAGUUAUGCUGUGAUUUGUCUAUUUAAAAAUCAUCAACUGUGGGGGUGCCUGGGUGGCUCAGUCAGUUAAGCAUCUGCCUUCAGCUCAGGUCAUGAUCUCACGGUUUGUGGGUUCGAGCCCCACAUCGGGCUCUGUGCUGACAGCUCCCUCUCUCUGUGUGUCUCCCUCUCUCCCUGUGUCUCCCUCUCUCCCUGCCGCUCCCCUACUCACGCUCUGUGUCUCUCUGUCUCUCAAUAAUAAAUAAAUGUUAAAAAAAAAUUUUUUUUUUAAAUAAAAAUCAAUCGUGUCUAUGGAAAGCACUUUUGUUACUUUGGGGUUCGGGGGAGGAAAUAAAAAUCUAUCCCAUUGUUUGUUCACAUUUGGUCCUUAAAUGAUACUUUAAAAUUUUUUUAAGUUUAUUUAUUUAUUUGGGAGAGACAGAGAUAGCGUGAGCAGGGGAGGGGCAGAGAGAGAGGGAGAGAGUGAGAAUCCUCAGCAGGCUCUGCACUGUCAGCACAGAGCCCGAUGUGGGGCUUGAAUGCACAAACCGUGAGAUCAUGACCUGAGCCAUAAUCAAGAGUCAGAUGCUCAACCGCCUGAGCCACCCAGGCGCCCCUUAAGUGAUAUGUUUUGAAUCCCAAUUCCUUGACCCUGUUUGUAGUAGCUUCACUAUCCUGGGCAGAGGCGGCCGUUUCUACUACCUAGAACACAGUGACAAGCCCUCCUUCUUUAAGUGUAAAUGAGACCAUUUAUACAGUACCAUUGUACAAUAUAUAUUGGGUACCACAUGGUUGAUCCUAACUAGAGUCUUAGUAACCAUGUCAUUUACUUUGACAUUUGGAAAUACUCACUUUGGCAUACACUCACUGUAUUUAUUUUGUUUAACAUGCUGUGGAGUGAAUAUGAUGUAGGGAAAGAGUGGGUAAGAAAGGAAGAGGUAAGGGAACAGAAAGAGGAAAGAUUGGUGCACAAAUGUCUUCCCCUACAGGUACACAAAUAUAUGGGGUUUCAGUAUGUGUGUCCCCAUAUUUGAAAAGAUAAGAUGACUCCCUUUUCGGGAUCUGUAAUAAGUUUGAUGAUGUAUGUGUAUGAGUGUAAUGUAUAUGUCUGUAGAUAUGUUUGCUGUAAGGUAGGAAUGAAUGAAAAGCCUGCUUAUGGAAGCAAGAAGAAGGAGGAAUUAAUUCUGGCUGGAGAAGUCAGGGAGCGCUACAUUGAAGAAAUUGACCACAGACCUGGCCUUGAGGAGAGUGAAUGAGAAUUACUAGUUGCUACAGUGGUUAGCAUCAAAAAGUGUGGAUGGGGUGAAGGGGACUGUCACUGGGAAUAUGGGAAGAUAACAGGUGGGAGGUAGGGUUGGAGCCAGAUUGUGAAAUACUCUUUGUCUUUAUCAUUUAAGACAAGGGACAAACACCAAAAUAUAUUUUUGGUUUGGUCUUUUAGAUCACUAGAUUUGUGUUUUGAGAGUACCUCUGAGUAUAAAAUUAUCUGGAGUCUGUGGCUAGAACUGUACAGUAAAUAAUGAAUUUGUAACUUAGCUAUUACAGUAAUCAGAUAAUACCUGUUUUUUCCCUUCCCUCAGUCUUUAGAAAAGUGUUCUGUAUAAUGAGGCAGUUUUAUACAGUGGUUAAGAGGUGGUAUCUGAUCUUGAACUCCUAGUCUCCCAUUUACUAGCUAUCUUUUUAACUUUGGAUAAGCCUUAAGCUUGGUUUAACUCGUCUGUAAAACAGGCAUAAUAAUGCCCACCCCAAAGAAUUGCUCUAAGAUUGGAUUGAAUGAGAUCAUAUAUGUAAAGCCCAGCACUUAACACAGAAAACAUACCUAAUAAAUAGUAGCGAUUAUUAUUUUGUGGCACUGCUUUCAUUAUAGAAGAAAUAUUUUGGAAUUUGAGGGAUUAAUGGUUUGGGGAGCGGGAGGAGGAGACCUUCGGUAAGUAGAUUAAUUAGGAAGUAGACUAAUUAUGGCUUUAUCCCAACAGUGCUUUUAGGUGACAGGGGAAUUCAAGGUAGAAGAGGAGGUUUGGCCAGAGAAGAGAAAAUGUAAUCAUUUUAAUUAUGGAUGGGCUGACUGUCGGGUAAUGGAGUAUAUGAGGGUGAUGCCCAGGAGGUGAUGGUCGGAAAUAUUUGAGCCUGCAGGCACAGAUGUGGAAGUAAUCAGUGUCUGCUGGGAGGUACCUGAGUCAGGAAAGAGUGAUCGAGUGAGUAGCAGUAAAGAAAACCGAUGGUUAGACUUGGGAGCCCGACAGAGAUUGUCCCUAUUUGACUCUAGGGGUAUAGUGCACUAGUCUUUCGUCUUACAUUCUUGAAAAAACUAGGGACCAAGAGAAAUUAAUGAUUUCUUUUUCUUAAUGUACUGCCAAUAAAAUAAUAUCUACCAUUAUACUGAGGCUUUAGACUAUACAUUUAAAUGGCCUGUGCGUUCAGAUUUGCUGCUUUACUCAUUCAUGUGUACAGGAUGGACCCAGCUUUGGUUAGCCUUCCGACCGUUGGGCCUCCCUCACGACAUCGUCUCCCCUUCUCCCUCAAAGUGGGGGAAAAGUUACUUCUUUGAACUGGGGAAGCUGUCUGAUGUUGGCAGGUGUCCUCCUUCCCAAGUCUAGGCACUUGGCCUCUGUAGUCGCUUUUUAUUCGGGGAAGUUCCCACCUCUGAAGUGAGGACUUAGUGUAGCUUUGCUGGUAAUGGGCUAGUCGUGAUCACUACGGGGAUUGGUAUGGGGAGGUACCAUGUUCCGUUGCUUCCAAGAAGCUGGCACAGUUAAUGCGUUCAGUCACAGCCUUCUCUUUACGUGACCGCAACAUUAAGAGACGCAUUGUCUUACUGCCUUCUCAUGGGAUGUCUGCUGUUUCUAAUUAAUUUUGUUUUUUUUUCUGAGUGAGAAGAAGUCUUUUGCCAUUGUCUUCAAACUGAAAUUUAAAUUUCAGCAGCUUUUGAUGUGAUACAAUAAAAUAUUAAGAGACUCAGAAAUUAUUCUAUUAGAACUUAACUCCUGAAACCAGCACUAUGUAUGUUAGCUAACUUGAAUUUAAAUAAAUUCAAGUUAAAAAAAAAAAGUUUGAAAUGUUUAUUUCCCAGUUGAUAGUAGGAUUUAAACCUUAACCCCGAGGUGUGUUUUUAGUUACCUUUUUGAAUUAAAUUGUCAGAAACUCUCUUCCUUGGGUUGAAGAUUUAUGGCUGUUAAUCGUCCUGCCUUAUCCGACUUCAUGUACCAAAAUCUAGAGAUGGGGUUAUAAUUGGAAGUCCACAUUAAUAGGAAGUUAACAAUUCCACAGGGUCAAGUCUAAUUUUUCAUUUUAAAUUACUCCAUCCUUUCUUUACUUCUGGGGUACUAACUGAAAAUAACUUGGGUUGCCUUUAGUUUUAAUUUAUAACUUUUUUAGGGUCUCACAGGGCUGACCUUGUUCUUGAUUUUUAGGGACUUACGAUAGUUUGUAUUCGUGUUGAACUAGCAACAUCCUGCCUGUUUUCAAGAAGCAUAGUGGAUGAAUACUGAGGUGCAAGUUUGUGCAGACUUUAAAUAAGUGUAUGGUGAGCUAUAAAGUUACAGUGUUAAAUUAGCUUCUGGCCUGCCUACUUUGUUUCCAAAGUUCACUUUGCAUUUUAAGAGCCCUUCCUGAUUUUAAAAGCAGAUACAAAGAAUUGCAUGGAAAUACAGAUAGAUCAUCAUCUGAGGGACUUUUGAAGUUGGAAAAAUAGUGAAUGUAGCAAAAGCGAGGGUGCUGUUGGCUGGGCAUUAUGGACUAGAAACCCGCAUUUCAAGUUUAAACCGUUUGGGUAAGACGACACAUUUUCCCUGGUUUAUACUCAGAUUUUUCCCUCCUUCUCCCCUUACCACUGUCACUCACAACACAGAAAAAUCUCAUUUACUGUGGUCUUAUUUGGAAGAGAGACUAGAGUGUGGAUUAUUUAGGGGCAAAGAAGGAGCAUCGAGGUCUUUUCAAUAUGAGGUAUUUCUGUCUAUGAACAUAGCACAGGGCUUAGGUCCUUCACAAAUGUUUUAUAGUUUUCUCUGUAAAGUUCUCACAUAUUUUUGGAAUGUUUUUUCCAAGGCUUCUGAUAGUCUGUGGCUACUGUGAAUGUGUUCUUUGAAAAAUUAUCAUCAUCAUCAUCAUCAUCGCAUCUUCUUACAAAUCGAUGUUAGUGUAUUAAAAAGUUACUGCAUUUUCAUAUGCUGGGAUCUCAUCAUUUAUUUCAUACUUAGGUUUUAUUUAUCCCCUCAAUACUUCAUUUUCAUCAUCUGUCCAUCCAAGGGGUUGGGUUAGAAAGAUAUUUCCAAGGAUCUUUCUGGCGUCAACAUUACGUGCAUCUAUGAUGAGCUAACAUCCUUUACGUACUUUAUGAGGUGAGUGGGAGUUGUACCAGCCAAACUGCAGAUAAGUUCUGUGAAUGCAGCCAAACUUAGCUUCGUUCAUAUAUGUCUGCAUGUGUUUAACACUCCUUGUAUAAUGAUUCUUAAACAUAUUGAGGCAAAGAGUAAAUACUUAGCAUUUUAAAAAUAAACCUCAGAAGUACAGUUUCUUAUUCUGCUUAAAAUGGUUUACUGUUCUCACCCCACACUUUUGUUUGUUGCUGUGUUAGUUGUACUGCAUAUAGUUUUUCUCCUGAAAAUACAUGAUCUUUAAACCAUAGUUUUUAUAAACAUUUGCAUCUCAAGUCAGAUUUUUUCCUAGAACAUGGAUUUCAUUUGGUGGGUUUCAUUAGAACAGGUUAUGUUAAGAGCGCUUUCUCACACAUACCUCUGUUCCAAGGAUCCUGUGUGCAGACGUCAGAAGAUUCCAUUGGGAGGGUGGGUGGUGUUCUUGAGGAACUAUUUUAAUAUAAUAUUUAUUUCUGCGGGGUGGAGGGAAGCAGAAGCUGUGCUUGUCAUCUCUGAGAGUGUUCAAUCCUGACCCCAAGUGUAAGUCAGCAACAGGCCAUUUUUUUAUACCUUUCAGAAAGACAUAGGCUGUAUAAGUUUCUGUCUAGAUGCUAGCUAGGAACUUGAACAAAUUGAAAUGGCUAACUAAAUUUAAGUCAUGGUUUGAGGAGGGUUCCCCAAAACGAAUUCAGGGCAAAGGUUGCUGGAGGUCGUAUUGAGGUGGUACUGACUAGUACCAAUAUGCACGUAGGUACAUAUGUAUGUAUACAUUUAAAUUGUGCUAAAAUUAGCAUGUAACACAAAACUUACUCUCUUUACCAUUUUUAAAUAUACAGUUAAGAAUAGUGUGAAGUACACUUACAUUGUUGUGCAACCAGUCUCGAAAACUCUUUUCAUCUUGCAAAACUGAAACUCUAUACCCAUUAAAUUAAAUUGGACUAAAUUAAACUAAAAAGUAAUUUUUCAUUUUGUAUACUUCUUUAAAAAAAGUAACCUCUCCGUGCAGUGUGGGACUUGAACUCAAGAUCCCAAGAUCAAGAGUCACAUACUCUACCAACUGAGCCAGCCAGCCAAGUGCCCGUCUAUAUCCAUUUCUAGAACUCUGUAUUUUCCCCAUCCCCCUGCCCUUGGCUACAUUCUGUUUCUGUGAGUUUGAACUGGUAGUUAUUUUUUGGAGAACUCGUCCUCCUUUAUGCCAGCUAAAUGGAUUUUGAGGGUAAAGAGUAGAGUAAUCUAGUAAAACCAGUAGCCGUUCUCCAUAAUCACAUGAAUGUUGGUAGUUAUCAGCCCUGAAAUUAGAGCAUCAGUAAGGCUUCUGCAACACAGAGUUUAGAAAUUGCUACCACUUUUGUUUGUUUGAGGAGGAGGAAGAGGAGGAAGAGGAGGAGCAUAGCUGGUGACUCUUUUGGGUACUUGUUACUUGCCUGAGGUUGGAGGAGAGACCUACUUCUUCUGGGAUGAAACAAACAGGACAAGUUUGGGUGCAUGCAGAUGCACAGAGACAUAAAAGAAAUCGAAGGAAUUUUUCAUGUGUCUUUUCCAUGUCAAGUAUAAGAUCCCAUCAUCUGUUGAAAGUUAGGGGUCUACAGUUGGUUAGAAGACUUUUAGGAAGUGACAAAGUUGGGGUUCCUAGGCAAGGGAGUAGAGACCUGGUCGAGGAUAAGUAGAGUGAUUGUAAUUGCAACAACAACAACAACAACAACAACAAGAAUAGCCAAUACCUACUAGUUUCCUGUUCUGGGCCAGCUCUCGUUCUAGGUGGUUCUGUGCUUUAGCCUUCGUAGCAGCUUUAUACAAGCAUUUGUUCUACAGGUAGGAAAGUAAGUGGUGAGAGUUAGGGUUCCAAUGGCAUUUGCUUGCCCCAAGCCCAGGCUCAUUUCUCUCUCUGCACUGUUAAUGACACUGGGAGUGUCUGUGUGGCGUUGAGAGCCAGAAGUUUAGGGUGGAACUUAAAAGGUUGUUCUUCAGAGAAAUCGGGAGAAGGGCGGACUGAAAACAAUGGAUCUGUCCAAAAUAGAACAAACAUAUUGAUGCCUUUUUCCCCACCAGAAUGAUUGGUGCCCAUGAUGGGCCGCUUCACUGUCCGGAGUGAGCUGCCACACCCUUUUUCACUUUGUAGAGAAGAACUUGAAUUUAUCUGUGGAUCCGGUUAUGUGACUUCACAGAAAUAUCUGAAAUUGCAAACUCAUUUUCUCUUUAAAGCCCGUAUGUCUGAAAUACGGGGUUGAAGUUAAUGCUAGUAAAUGCUUUAAUUUCUGUCUAGGGGGAAAUGAGGGCCUUUUCAUUUGUAAUUGUUACAUUUAUUGAACAGGAGUUAGUUGUACUCCUAUUUUGUAUUAAGAGACUGUGUUGCAAAGUAUAAAACACAGUAUGCUGGGUUUUUUUUUAAACAGUAGUAUCCCUUUAUGCAUGUUCAUUAUUACUCUAAAUAAGUUGUCAAAUUCAUAAAAAGAAAACCCCCAUUUUUCUUAGAAUCAUAAAUUUAAGCUUAAGUUUCUUGUUUGUUUUUUAUCUGACAUAUGUGAAGGUAAUUCCAAACAGCUAAAAGAACAAAUGGAGGCCAGAAGAGUCUGUGGUACAGUAGGCCAAAAUGAAUUAAGUCAUAACUGAGCUUCUGUGCCCACUUUACUGUCCACAUGGACAGGCAGGCUCUUAUUAAUUUACGAGGGUAAACUCAUCUGGUAAGAUCAAUUAAUUUCUAGGCUAUAGCUAAUUUAUAUGAAUAUACCCUUAGUACUCACAUGCGAAAAUUCGUUACUGUUAUGGAUUAGAUUUACAUUGUCUAAACCUGGGGAAUGUAAUUUCACAUGCACCCCCCCCCCCCCAUUGCAUAUGUCAAAUUACUUGCAAUUCAGACUGAGGAUUUACCCCCUUCCAGGUUUAACCCUUUUAAACUUAGUAAUACCUCCUAGGCUUGAUGUAUUCUGUGUGCUAUCUACCUUGGUAAGAAGACUCUUUGAUUUUGAUGUUAGGAGAAAAACUAGCAAUAAGGUAUGAGAUGAAAUGUAACAUAGAUGGAUUCUGUCAACUUGGUAAACACACUGCUAUACAAUAGGGGUUUGUUGCAGACUUUUUUCAUAAGUAGAAAACUCUUCCAAAAGACAUUUUUGAAGUUUUGCUGUGAAGAAAGAUUGCUAGUGAAUGAAAAGAACCUUUUGUAGACCCCUCUAUCUGAGAGCUUGGUAACUGGCACUUUUGGAUUCUGUACACAGAGAUUCAUGGCUGGGAGAAUAUCUCAGGGUAAAGCUAUCUGAGUUUUGAAUCCAAAGCCAUUAAUUUCUUCAAUUAUGAGAAGAAACCACAGAUUGCAUAAUGGCCUUGGUAUUUUGUUGGUAUGGAGAGGGUGAUCGCAGAAGGCUUGUAAGCCUGUGUUGGGAUGUGUGUGACACGUGCCUUUUUUCUGAUUUUUAAAUUUCACCAGUCUUCGACACAUUUUUUAAACUGUGGAUAUCCUAAGUUAGCAAAUCCAAAUCAGUGCACAAAGCAACCAUUUUUGCCAGUGCCAAAUGCAUACUUUGCGGAGUUUUCUAAUCUGGGCUCCAGAGUUUAUACAUAGCAAAUUCUCACAUCUGCCAAGUUCUGUUAUGACCCAGAGGGGAGGAGAGCCACGUGGGACGAAGAAUCUGGAAAUGCAUACUGCCCAUAGGGGAAAUGGCAUUUUGGAAUUUGUUUCUAUGUGGAUUUUCUCCUCCUAGACCACUGUGAUGCUUAGCAGGCUGAGCUGGAAAGUUCAUGUUGCACAAGAUGAAGAACAAUAACUGGUCUGUUCGGUGGCUUGCUGUUAAGUCUCCUGCCAGUGCCGACUAAUAGUUGUGAUAGCCAUUUCUCCCCUGGGAUGUAAGAGUUUGGCUGUCAUCUUCUGGGGAAUAUGAUAAUUUGUUGCCAUUGCUUUCAGCAUGGUGGAGAGAUCUAACAUUUAAAGGCUCUUAUCCCAGUGGUUUACAGCUUUUCCCCCCCCCCCCCCCCCCCCCAUAAACUGCUGCUGCUUCUUUUGAGCCUUGACUGUAACUUAAAAAAUAUAGUAAGGGCAUCUGUUUCAUAAAAUGCACAUGAAUAUUAAAUCUACUUGCAUAUGAAUAUUAAAUCUAAUUGAUUCAUUUUCAUUUUGCCAAAGAGAACUUGAAUUUAUCUCUUACAAGACAUUGGCCUCAUUUUUUUUUUAACCUUAAGACAUUGACACUAGAAAUUGUUUGUUUUCUUUGCUUUUCUUUUAAAUCAGUAAAAUGUCCUUUUUCUUGGGUUGUGGUGCAGUUUUAAAUCAUGUUUAAAAUGUGCAUAGGGGCACAGACCCCAAUAGGGUUUAAAAGACAUGAAAAAUCUGGGAUAGAAGUUAGUAUGUCUAAUAAAUUUAAGUUCCCUCAGAUGGCUUUAUAGGAAGUGUAUUAAUAUUUUCCAAAGCGUUUCCAUUCAAGUGCUAGAUUUUACAUAGCUGCCUUUUAAAAAUAUAAAUGUAUUCCUGAAAUUAUUUAUCAAUUAAAAAAAUUUUUUUAAUGUUUAUUUUUGAGAGAGAGAUGGAGACAGAGAGACAGAACAUGAGCAGGGGAGGGGCACAGAGAAGGAGACCCAGAAUCCAAAGCAGGCUUCAGGCUCCAGGCUUCAAGCUGUCAGCACAGAGCCCAACAUGGGGCUUGAACCCACAAACUGUGAGAUCGUGACCUGAGCUGAAUCGGUUAAGCAUCCGACUCUCCAUUUCUGCUCGGGUCGUUAUUUCGCGGUUUCGGGACUUCAAGCCCCACAUCGUGCUGUGCACUGAUGGUGCAGAGCCUGCUUGGGAUUCUCUCUCUGUCUCUCUGUCUCUCUGCCCUUCCCCUACUCAUGCUAUCUCUGUCUCUCUCAAAUAAAUAAAUACAAUUAAAAAAAAAAAAACAAAAAAGGAAAAUACUCGCAGCUGGUUAUGAUUCCCAAGUGUCUGGGAGAAUAAAAUUCAGAUCCAACAUGGGAGCACCCAAAUAUAUAAAAUACUAAUAAACAUAAAGGAACUAAUUGAUAACAAUACAGUAAUAGUAGGGUACUUUAACACCCCACUUACAUCAAUGGGCAGAUCAUCUAUGCAGAAAAUUAACAAGGAAACAAUGGCUUUAAAUGAUACACUGGACCAGAUGAACUUAACAGAUAUAUUCAGAACAUUCCAUCCUAAAACGGCAGGAUACACAAGUGCGCAGGGAACAUUUCCAGAAUAGAUUACAUAUUAGGUCACAAAUACAAAAAGAUUGAAAUCGUACCAUGCACCGUUUCUGAAUGUAACAAACACUGUGAAGCUAGAAGUCAACCACAAGAAAAAAUUUGGAAAGACCACAAACGCAAACACUGGAGGCUAAAAAUGUGCUAUGAAACAAUGAGUGGGUCAACCAGGAAAUCAAAGAAGAGAUGAAAAAAUAUAUAUGGGAAAAAAAUGAAAAUGAAAACACAAUGGUCCAAAACCUUCAGGAUGCAGGAAAAGUGGUCCUAAGAGGGAAGUAUAUAGCAGUAGAGGCCUACCUUGAGAAGCAAGAAAAAUCUCAACUAAACAACCUAACCUUACACCUGAAGGAGCUGGAAAGAGAACAACCAAUGAAACCUAGAGCCAGGAGAAAGAAGGAAAUAAUAAAGAUGAGAGCAGAAAUAAAUGACCUAGAAACUAAAAAAAACAGUAGAACAGAUCUUUGUAGAAACACAUUUUAUAGAGUGGCCUCAACAAAGUUUUAUAAAUAAAAUGGCAAGAAGUGUGAGCUUGCACAAGAAAACAAGCAACUAUGAGUUAGAUUAUUAUUUCCAAAGAGGCCUCAACAAUAUUUCCUGACCAAUGUCAUGUGCUCUUCUAGAACCUUGCUAUUCUAUCAUCAAGAACUAGUCUGCUCCUUUCCAUUAAACCUGGGCAGGCUUUUGUGACUGCUUUUUUUUUUUUUUUUCUCCAGAAGAAUCUGACAGAGCUGACAUUAUGUGAUUUCUGAGGGUAAGCCAUAAAAAUGCCACACAUUUGUUCCUUAUUCUCUUGGGAUAUACAUUUUAGGAACACAUCCGCAUGCUGUGAAGAAGCCCAUGCAGUCCACGGGGAAACCCAUAUGAACAGGAACUAAGGAACUAAGGCCUCAGGCCCAUGACCCCGGCUCAGCUCCCAGCUGACAGCCAGCAUUAACUUGCCAGCCUUAUAAGUAAACGUGUUGAAAGUGGAUUCCCAGCCUCUGUCAUGCUGCUUUAGGUGAUGCCACAUAGAGCAGGGACAAGCUGUCCUUUCUGAGCCCUGGACAGAUUGCAAAUUUGUGAGCAAAAGAAAUGAUUAUUGUUUUGAUCCCCUGAGUUCUGGGAUGGUUUGUUGCACAGUGACAGGUAAAACUAGAACAUCAGUAGUAACCGUCAGUCUCAUAGACUGUAGAUUUUUGAAGAAAUAAAAGAGGGAAUUAAAAAUAUGAUAUCAUGAAGAGACUCAAAAUUGAUGAGAAAGAUACGAAAGAAGAGCUCAGUCUCAGUAGAACUUCUUAAAAAUAAAAAACAAAUGAAAAACACAAUGGAAAGUUGAUACAGUUUGGGUAAAUUUGAAAAGUGAACUGGAAGAUAGAUAGAUCUGAAGAUUUCCAGAACUGUAUGAAGAGAGGAGCUGGGGCACAUGACGUUUAGUGACAGAAGGAUGAGAAGAUACCACAUAUGUCUGACUAAGUGGUUCUCAAACGUUUUGAUCUUAGGACCCUGUCCAUUCAUAAAAGUUGAGAACCCCAGCUUGCUUUUGUGUAUGUACGUACACUUAUAAUUUGUUCACGUUUCUGUAUAUACAUUAUGGUUCAAUAAAAAACUUACUUUUAAAAAAAGACAACAUAGGGGCACCUGGGUGGCUCAGUCAGUUGAGCGUCUGACUUUGGCUCAGGUCAUGAUCUCACAGCUUGUGGGUUCAGGCCCUGUGUCGGGCUCUGUGCUGAUAGCUCAGAGGCCUGGAGCCUGCUUCCGAUUCUGUGUCUCCCUCUCUCUCUGCUCCUCCCCCACUCAUUCUCUGUCUUUCUCUGUCUCUCAAAAAUAAAUAAAAUGUAAAAAAAAAACAAAAAAAAGGACAACAUGAAGAGUAAAAAAGUAAGGCACAACCUGAGAGAAGAUGUACUGAUAAGGUUAUUCAGACUAUAAUAUAAUAUAAUAUAAUAUAAUAUAAUAUAAUAUAAUAUAUAAGUAAUGUAUAUAUACAGAAUAUAAUACAUAUAAUAUGUUAUAGCAUAUAUAUGCUAUAUUAUAUAAUAUAUAUAUACAGAAUAUAAUAGAAUAUAUUCUGUUAUUCAGAAUAUAAAAGAACUCCUCAAAUUAAAAAGAAUAAGAUAGGGAAGAAAAGGAAAUAGGAAAGUCCUGAAUAAGUUGAUUUCACUGGAGCAGGAACAAAUGGUCUAUGAAUGUACGAAAAGAUCCUCCAUUCUUUUAGUAAUCAAGGAAAUGCAAACUAAAACAGCAAGGAACUCUUUGCCUCCUUAUGCCCCAUCAGACUGGGAAAAAUUAAAAAAUAGUAGUUGUUGCAGAUGAUAGAAAGCAGUGGGAACACUUAACACUGUUGGAUACAACCAUUUUGGAAAACAAUUUGGCUUUACUUAGUGAUUCCUAAGUAUACACCCUAAUGAAACUCUUACACUCAUGGCCCAGGAGACACGUAUAAGAAUAUUUAAAGUACUGUUCAUAAUAACUAAAAAUGCAAACAACUCAAAUGUCUAGCAUCUGUAAAGCAAUACAUAAAGUUGGUGUAUUCAUAAAAGGAUGACUGU